AGAGGCUGUCGGACUCUGACUGCGCGGAGACCGCUGGACUCUGGUCGCGGCCUUAGUCCGCUGAUCCUCGCUUGGGUGCCCGCCCUUAGCGGCCCGGCGUUGAAUUCCGGGAAGUGGGAGCUUCAGGCUCGCUCCGUGCGGGUGAAGAGGAACAGAUGCUGCCAUGAAAGGGGUUUCCUAGAAAGUGGUGAAGAGACCAUAGCCUAAUGCAAGUAGAGAAUUGGGACCAGGAAAAAUAAAGCCAUGAAAUAAUGAGUCUGCUGUAUUAGAGAGCUGGGAUGCAUUCUUCCUCUCCUAUCCUUGGACAUCAGAACUCCAGGCUCCGGCCUUUGGACUCCAGGGCUUAACACCAGCAGCUCCCAGAUUCUCAGGCGUUCAGCCUCCAACUGAGAGUUACACCAUUGGCUUUCCUGAUUUUGAGGCCUUCAGACUUGGUUUAAGCCAUGCUACCAGCAUCCCAGAGCAUCCAGUUUGCAGA
rnacentral:lncRNA from 10 species